UCCCCUAUGGUCUAGUGGUUAGGAUUGUUCGCUUUCACCGAACAGGCCAGGGUUCGAUUCCCUGUGGGGGAA
rnacentral:tRNA from 1 species